GCACAACUAUGAACAAAAUCAAUGAGCAAAGAAGGAAAGGAGGUAAGCGUAGCAACAAGCAAGAAGAAGAUGCGAGAGGAAGACCACCACAUUACCACUCUACCACCAAAGAAGACCACAACGUUAUCACAUCAACACUAGAACAACCACAAACCGAAAGAAAGAGAAAAGGAGGCAUGAGGAAGGAGAAACUAAGAGAGGUAAGGGAGGAGAAACCAAGGAAGCUCGAGGGGUGCACUAGGGUUUCCAAUUCUUAAAAUGCACAAAAGAAUUUUUUUUGUCAAAGAUUCUUAUUUUAAUGUGAGAAGUGGCUGAUGGACAAAGUUGAGAUUUUUGAUAAAGUUGGAGAUGCAUGACGAGAUUGUGGAGGUGCAGCAAGAACGUUUCAAUUUUUUUUAAUACUAAUUAUUUUGAAUCUUUA
rnacentral:lncRNA from 1 species